CCUACGGGAGGCAGCAGUGGGGAAUAUUGGGCAAUGGGCGCAAGCCUGACCCAGCAACGCCGCGUGAAGGAAGAAGGCUUUCGGGUUGUAAACUUCUUUUCUGAGGGACGAAGCAAGUGACGGUACCUCAGGAAUAAGCCACGGCUAACUACGUGCCAGCAGCCGCGGUAAUACGGAGGUGGCAAGCGUUAUCCGGAUUGAUUGUGUGUAAAGGGCGUGUAGGCGGGAAAGCAAGUCAGAUGUGAAAACUCAGGGCUCAACCCUGAGCCUGCAUUUGAAACUGUUUUUCUUGAGUGCUGGAGAGGCAAUCGGAAGUCCGUGUGUAGCGGUGAAAUGUGUAGAUAUACGGAGGAACACCAGUGGCGAAGGCGGAUUGCUGGACAGUAACUGACGCUGAGGCGCGAAAGCGUGGGGAGCAAACAGGAUUAGAUACCCGAGUAGUC
rnacentral:rRNA from 1 species